rnacentral:misc_RNA from 1 species
UACGUAGGUGGCAAGCGUUGUCCGGAAUUAUUGGGCGUAAAGCGCGCGCAGGAGGCCUCUUAAGUCUGAUGUGAAAGCCCCCGGCUCAACCGGGGAGGGCCAUCCGAAACUGGGAGGCUUGAGUAUAAGCGGGAAGAGUGGAAUUCCACGUGUAGCGGUGAAAUGCGUAGAGAUGUGGAGGAACACCAGUGGCGAAGGCGACUCUUUUGCCUAUAACUGACGCUGAGGCGCAAAAGCGUGGGGAGCAAACAGG